UCAGGAUUGAAGAAGAAUCAGACAGCAAGGGUUGUCAGAUCAGAAACGUAAUAACACAAACAUAAGAAACUUCACAGGGCUGUGACAGUGACAGUAUUUUACCACCGCGAUGGUAAUGCACCAAUUCACCACUGUGGUGCGGUGGUUAUAGAAUGUGUUUGUGUGAGGGGGGAGGCGGCAAUUUCUUUUUCCGCCGGUGGGUGCUCAUCACAACCUCAAGCUUUACUUCGCAACGCCAGGUGCUCUAGAGUCUGGAGCGCUCAAAGGCUUUGAAGAGGUGGAAAGUGGCGCAGUCACGUUUUCGUGUGAAUUGUGAAGUUAAAGGCAGAUCACCGUGCAACUUGGUGAAGUCAUGUGUCUUUCCAGAUGGCCAAAUAUGUACCCCUCUAAAAAACUUUAUUAAAUGCCAUGAUAGACAAGAUGAGCCUUAAGAGGAGAUUUGGGAAGAUGCUGUUUCAUAAGUCUUUGCUUUGCCAGAUUAUCUGUGGUUGGGGUGUCUGCCAACGUGAUGCCUUGCUGGUCUGGUUUGAGUUUGAAGUCUCUCACAGACAGUCCAGAAGGUCUGGAGUCCAUCUUAGCUUUCAUUGGUAAGUGACUGCACAAGAGGCUGUUUGACCCACACGUAAGAUGCUGUCAUCAUAUUUUAAGUGCAUGAGCCAGAAUGGACGGGUGGUGGUGGCCAUAAGAAGACUGUCAACUAAACUAGGGUGACCAUACGUGCCAUUCUUCCCGGACCCGUCCUGUCCAGUCUUUUGGAACUCGUAUUUGUCGACCGCAUACGUCACAGAGGAUUAUUAUUAUUAUUACAGAAAAGCAACCGUUACAUUUUAAGGUAAGAAGAAUGAAACUACGAUUGUAUAUCUUAUGUUUUUAACUGAAUGGCGUAUGCGGUCAACAAAUACGACUUCCGGAAGACGCACCGAAAUC